rnacentral:tRNA from 1 species
CGCAGGUUAGAGCAGUGGUCAGCUCGUCACUUCGACUUGGUGAAGGUCAGCGGUUCGAUUCCGUUACCCGCAA